GUGCAUCCGUCGCAUGCUGAUCUGCGAUUACUAGCGAUUCCGACUUCAUGCAGGCGAGUUGCAGACUGCAAUCCGAACUGAGACAGGCUUUCUGGGAUUCGCUCCACCUCGCGGUUUCGCUUCCCUCUGUGCCCCCCAUUGUAGUACGUGUGUAGCCCAGGACAUAAGGGGCAUGAUGACUUGACGUCAUCCCCACCUUCCUCCGGUUUGUCCCCGGCAGUCUCCUUUGAGUGCCCACCCUUACCUGCUGGCAACAAGGGCAAGGGGUUGCGCUCGUUGCGGGACUAAACCCAACAUCCCAAAACACGAGCUGACAACCGCCAUGCACCACCGGUUUUCCUGUUCCGAAAGGGACAGGACACUACCUCUAGGUUUUUAAGACGAUGUCGGCCGUGGUAGU
rnacentral:rRNA from 1 species